GUUUCUCUUCAUAUCGCAUAAAUCUUUCGCCUUUUACUAAAGAUUUCCGUGGAGAGGAAUAAUUCUGAGUUUUAAACCAAUUUUUUAGAGGUCUUGCAUUUUUUAGCAAGGCUUAUUUGAGCGUUUUAAAAGUAGAUGCCCUUAGCCAUUACGACGGUUCGUAUUUACUCUGAAACAAGAAACACACUCAAAACUCAGAGAAAACAUUGUUCCCUAGUAUUUGAGUCUGAAGGACCAGAGCUGGCUUCUGGAGGAGCAGCUGGCCUUGGGGGAAAAGGACAAUUUACCCUCCUACGUAGCUUGAAUGGGGCUUUGAGUCGCAUGGCGGGGCACGGCGGGGCACGGCGGGGCACGGCGGGGCACGGCGGGGC
rnacentral:lncRNA from 1 species